ACAUGGAUGGACAGAAUGGACGUCCAGAUGCAGGCUUCAGCUUCUCCCAGUAGUCACGACGGGCCCUGCAGAAACAAACAGAGUGAAUUUUCUCGUCUCGUGGUUUUUACACCCAACAUGAACUGGCUUCACCUGUACCUUUCCUGCCAGUGGCCUCUGGUAGGAACAAACGACUUCUAAGUGGAAGAAAAGCUCCGGUGCGGCUGUUUAAGGAUGUAGAAUUCAGCAGGAUGAGAACAUUUUCUUCAGGCAACAGGAUUUGGAGUCUUAUUUCCUGGUAAGUGGAUAUCUCUCCUCUGGCUGACAGCAACACAUCUGUACCACUGAUUCAGUUUGCUCUGCAACAUUGAUGUUUUAUCUCCACAAAUAACACGUGCCUGGAGGAGUUCUGCCAUGUGGUGGAGUUGCUAAUGCUAAUGGUUAGCUUCUACUAGUCAAGACCUUCUCUGCUGUUUCCUGGACCCUAAAUCAACAACACGCUUCCUUGUUCGAAUCAAAAUGGCGUGUCCACCAACAGUGUGACGUAAAUCUGCCGGGCAUUUCUGAACCAAGUGUUUAUCUGUCUAUUUUCUAUCCGAAGCUAAUGCAAAAAAUAGAUUUAGAAAACCAUUUUCAUGUUCAGCCUGCAUGUUAAACUCAGAGUGACCCAUUCAUAAUCAGAGAUAAUAAGUAAAAAACGUUUUUUCAGUUAACCUGUUCUUAAAUACUCAUCUUCAGCACAAUCUGCUAAUGGUGAGUGUUAGAUCACUGAUGUUGUUUGCAGAAUGUAAAAUUUGCACACAGGCACCCUUGGUUGCAUAUAACUGAGCCCCUAAACCUUUUAUUAACAUAUAAAAAUAUAAAUCUAAAAAACACACACACAUUAAACGAACAGUGAAUUAAAGUUUGUUGACGUGCUUCACC